GACAUAGGUUGCGAACGUUAUCCGGAAUUAUUGGGCGUAAAGGAUGCGUAGAUGGUUUGAUAAGUUAUCAGUGACAAAUCGGGGCUCAACCUCGUGGAAGUUGGUAAUACUGUCAUACUUGAGUGCAGGAGAAGUUAACGGAACUCUAUAUGGAGCGGUAAAAUGUGACGAUAUAUAGAAGAACACCAAUAAGGCGAAGGCAGUUAACUAUUCUGUUACUGACAU
rnacentral:rRNA from 1 species